rnacentral:rRNA from 1 species
UACGUAGGUGGCAAGCGUUGUCCGGAAUUAUUGGGCGUAAAGCGCGCGCAGGCGGUCCUUUAAGUCUGAUGUGAAAGCCCACGGCUCAACUGUGGAGGGUCAUUGGAAACUGGGGGACUUGAGUGCAGAAGAGGAAAGCGGAAUUCCACGUGUAGCGGUGAAAUGCGUAGGGAUGUGGAGGAACACCAGUGGCGAAGGCGGCUUUCUGGUCUGUAACUGACGCUGAGGCGCGAAAGCGUGGGGAGCAAACAGG